rnacentral:rRNA from 1 species
AUACGAAGGGGGCUAGCGUUGUUCGGAAUUACUGGGCGUAAAGCGCGCGUAGGCGGAUUGGUCAGUUAGGGGUGAAAUCCCAGGGCUUAACCCUGGAACUGCCUCUAAUACUGCCAGUCUUGAGUUCGGGAGAGGUGAGUGGAAUUCCUGGUGUAGAGGUGAAAUUCGUAGAUAUUAGGAAGAACACCAGUGGCGAAGGCGGCUCACUGGCCCGAUACUGACGCUGAGGCGCGAAAGCGUGGGGAGCAAACAGGAUUAGAUACCCUAGUAGUCC